UGAACGCUGGCGGCGUGCUUACCACAUGCACGUCGAACGGAAAGGCUCCUGCUUGCAGGGGUACUCGAGUGGCGAACGGGUGAGUAACACGUGGGUGAUCUGCCCUGCACUUCGGGAUAAGCCUGGGAAACUGGGUCUAAUACCGGAUAGGACGAUGGUUUGGAUGCCAUUGUGGAAAGUUUUUCGGUGUGGGAUGAGCUCGCGGCCUAUCAGCUUGUUGGUGGGGUAAUGGCCUACCAAGGCGUCGACGGGUAGCCGGCCUGAGAGGGUGUACGGCCACAUUGGGACUGAGAUACGGCCCAGACUCCUACGGGAGGCAGCAGUGGGGAAUAUUGCACAAUGGGCGCAAGCCUGAUGCAGCGACGCCGCGUGGGGGAUGACGGCCUUCGGGUUGUAAACUCCUUUCGUCAGGGACGAAGCGAAAGUGACGGUACCUGGAUAAGAAGCACCGGCUAACUACGUG
rnacentral:rRNA from 1 species